AGACCUGGGGUCAAUAGCAGGGCCCCGGCACAACUUUCUAGCAAGAGUAUUUGAUGUUUUAAUCUAUCUGCUCUGUGUGUGCGGUGAACAUAACGCUAACGUGUACCUGACAUCUUUAAAUCCUAACCUGGACAUGCUUCCAAGGCCGGUGGAGUUUGGAGGGCUGGCAGUUAUCUAGCUUUCGAAGUAUGGCCCUGAUUUUUCAGAGCUGCUGAGCACCUACAGUUCCCAUCGGCUUCAUCUGCAACUCAUGGGCCCUGCCUGAGGAAGGCACUACACCUACGGUUAACUUGAAGCAGUCAAAUGCAAAUUUAACAAAGGGACCGGUGAGAAAAUAGAACCCACGAGUUCCAAUCUGCUGCACAGAGAUGCCUGCGGAUCCCUGACAGGAUACAACUGUAUAGGAAUUCAUAUCAGCCCACAGACAAAGUGACCUCCGAGGAGCCAUUCCCAGAACCAGGUGUUGCCAGAGCACACGGGCCGGCUGGCC